UUGGGCAUAAAGGGCAUCUAGGCGGAUAUACAAGUCAGGGGUGAAAACUUAGGGCUCAACUCAAAGCUUGCCUUUGAAACUGUAUAUCUAGAGUGCUGGAGAGGUGGACGGAACUACACGAGUAGAGGUGAAAUUCGUAGAUAUGUGUAGGAAUGCCGAUGAUGAAGAUAGUCCACUGGACAGCAACUGACGCUGAAGUGCGAAAGCUAGGGGAGCAAACAGGAUUAGAUACCCUGGUAGUCCUAGCUGUAAACGAUGAUUACUGGGUGUGGGCAUGAAGAGUGUCUGUGCCGAAGCUAAUGCGAUAAGUAAUCCGCCUGGGGAGUACGACCGCAAGGUUGAAACUCAAAGGAAUUGACGGGGACCCGCACAAGCGGUGGAGCAUGUGGUUUAAUUCGACGCAACGCGAGGAACCUUACCAGAUCUUGACAUCCUACGUAGGCCUGUGAGAACAGGCUGUGCCUUCGGGAACGUAGAGACAGGUGGUGCAUGGCUGUCGUCAGCUCGUGUCGUGA
rnacentral:rRNA from 1 species